UAAUUUUGCCUUUUGAAAGCAGGAAGUGAAUGCUCUGCAAGUGUAAGUAUUUCAUAAUCACAGAAUUUUACACAUGACAUGUCUAUUAUUAAAUAGUAUA